rnacentral:rRNA from 1 species
AUUGAACGCUGGCGGCAUGCCUAACACAUGCAAGUCGAACGGCAGCGCGGGUAGCUUGCUACCUGGCGGCGAGUGGCGGACGGGUGAGUAAUGCAUAGGAAUCUGCCCAGUAGCGGGGGAUAGCCCGGGGAAACCCGGAUUAAUACCGCAUACGCCCUACGGGGGAAAGCAGGGGAUCUUCGGACCUUGCACUAUUGGAUGAGCCUAUGUCUGAUUAGCUUGUUGGUGGGGUAACGGCCUACCAAGGCGACGAUCAGUAGCUGGUCUGAGAGGACGAUCAGCCACACCGGAACUGAGACACGGUCCGGACUCCUACGGGAGGCAGCAGUGGGGAAUAUUGGACAAUGGGGGAAACCCUGAUCCAGCAAUGCCGCGUGUGUGAAGAAGGCCUGCGGGUUGUAAAGCACUUUCAGUUGGGAAGAAACAGCAGCCGGCUAAUAUCCGGUUGUCUUGACGUAACCAACAGAAGAAGCACCGGCUAACUCCGUGCCAGCAGCCG